rnacentral:rRNA from 1 species
AUGAGGAGGGCGUGCAGUGCGAAGGAAGGGGUGAAGAGAGGGGCAUGGACGAGCAAGGAGGACGAAACCUUGGCCUCCUACAUCAAGGCGCAUGGCGAAGGCAGAUGGAAGGAAGUCCCCUUGAAAGCUGGCCUGCGGCGGUGCGGCAAGAGCUGCCGGCUGCGGUGGCUCAACUACCUCCGGCCGAGCAUCAAGCGGGGCAACAUCUCCGACGACGAGGAGGAGCUCAUCGUCAGGCUCCACCGCCUCCUCGGCAACAGGUGGUCCCUCAUCGCGGGCAGGCUGCCCGGCCGAACAGACAACGAAAUCAAGAACUACUGGAACAGCACCCUCGGGCGGAAGGCGCUCCCGGAGCGAGCUGCCACCAGGGUGGUCGCCACGCCCUGCGCCUCCGCCAGCUCCGGCUCCUCCACAGGGGCGUCGACAGCAGGGCUGUCCUCUAACUGCGGGGCUGGUACAAGUGCCAAGGCUGCGGGGCUGCUGUCGUCGGCCUCGGUGUGGGUGCCCAAGCCCGUGAGGUGCACAGGCGGUCUCUUCCUCAGCGGGGAUGCGCCGCUGCCCGCGCCGGUCACGCAGACGCGGGCCGUGGGUGGAGACGGAGAUGAGUGCAGCGGCAGCAGCUUGGCGGCAUCGUCGGGCGGCGGCGACUGGAUGGACGACGUGAGAGCCUUGGCGUCGUUCCUCGAGUCCGACGAGGACUGGGUCAACUCCCUGCACAUGGCGGAUUAA